rnacentral:rRNA from 1 species
UACGUAGGGGGCGAGCGUUGUCCGGAUUUAUUGGGCGUAAAGAGCUCGUAGGCGGUCUGUCGCGUCUGCUGUGAAAACUCGGGGCUUAACCCCGGGCCUGCAGUGGGUACGGGCAGACUAGAGUGCGGUAGGGGAGACUGGAAUUCCUGGUGUAGCGGUGAAAUGCGCAGAUAUCAGGAGGAACACGGUGGCGAAGGCGGGUCUCUGGGCCGUAACUGACGCUGAGGAGCGAAAGCGUGGGGAGCGAACAGG